rnacentral:rRNA from 1 species
CCUACGGGCGGCAGCAGUGAGGAAUAUUGGUCAAUGGGCGAGAGCCUGAACCAGCCAAGUCGCGUGAGGGAGUACUGCCCUAUGGGUUGUAAACCUCUUUUGUCGGGGAGCAAAAGCCGGACGUGUCCGGCUGGUAGAGUACCCGAAGAAAAAGCAUCGGCUAACUCCGUGCAAGCAGACGCGGGAAUACGGGGGAUGCGAGCGUUAUCCGGUUUUAUUGGGGUUAAAGGGUGCGCGGGCGGGUUUUUAAGUCAGCGGUCAAAUCGUGGGGCUCAACCCCAUCCAGCCGUUGAAACUGGGGAUCUAGAGUGUGCGAGAGGUAUGCGGAAUGCGUGGUGUAGCGGUGAAAUGCAUAGAUAUCACGCAGAACCCCGAUUGCGAAGGCAGCAUACCGGUGCACAACUGACGCUCAGGCACGAAAGCGUGGGUAUCGAACAGGAUUAGAUACCCGGGUAGUC